rnacentral:rRNA from 1 species
AUUGAACGCUGGCGGCAGGCCUAACACAUGCAAGUCGAACGAGUGGCGGACGGGUGAGUAAUGUCUGGGAAACUGCCUGAUGGAGGGGGAUAACUACUGGAAACGGUAGCUAAUACCGCAUACCAUCGGAUGUGCCCAGAUGGGAUUAGCUAGGAGGUGGGGUAAAGGCUCACCUAGGCGACGAUCCCUAGCUGGUCUGAGAGGAUGACCAGCCACACUGGAACUGAGACACGGCCCAGACUCCGACGGGAGGCAGCAGUGGGGAAUAUUGAACAAUGGGCGCAAGCCUGAUGCAGCCAUCCCGCGUGUAUGAAGAAGGCCUUCGGGUUGUAAAGCACUGUAAGCGGGGAAGCGGUACCUGCAGAAGAAGCACCGGCUAACUACGUGCCAGCAGCCGCGGUAAUAC